rnacentral:lncRNA from 1 species
AAGCUUUGUAGUUGCAGUACUCAAUAUCAAGUAAAACUGGACAUCCUUGGUCACAUCAACAGUAGUACACCUCAGAAUCUAUCACUCGUUAAUUAUAAGCACUACAAAGUAUAAUAGUAAGACCGCUUCAAAAAAAGUAUAAUAAUAAGACCGGUUCAAAAAAAGGUAUGUUAGUAAGACAUAUGACAGAUAGUUGAGACGUACCAUUAUACUGUAGGUUGUUCUACAUCUAUACUACUUUUUUUAUGACAUGUAACUCAGGUGAGAUAGACUAAGAUCGCCACUCCCAAUCAUGUGUAAGCUGCAGCCCUUGACAAUUUCUUCCGACCAAGUAACUUGAUUUGUUGUGGCUUUGGUUCUCAGGCAGCAAGUAGAUUUUUUCCUCGCGACGAAUGAACUGGUUUGUAAAAAAAAAUAGAACUCCGUUACUGAAUAUUAGCUUAAUGCAGAAGAGUAUAAAUUCUGGUACUCUUAUUGAAAUCACCCUACUAAUGUGGUAGCACAUAAAGUACCUAUCACAUAUUUAUCAGCAUCAUGGUUAUAAAAGCUUUUGUGCAAAACGAUAAAGUAGUAAGCUAGAGGAGUGAAUUGUUAGUUCCACAUAGGAAAUAGAAACAUACUCCUCUUUCUCAAACAAACUUCCCGUCUGUGUACAUAACAGUAGCAUGGAGUGGGAACUGCUAUUGCAUGGUUAGAAGGCGCUGUACUAAGCAUGUUGCAUACCACAUGCUAAGUUUGUGGUUAGUCGAUCCAUCAGUUAGCUGUACGAAAAAUAGGGAAAGAAAAGGCAUACAGAAUGAUUGUUUCUAGUAGAAAUUGUACUGCAAAUAUUGUACCCUAAGCACAAUGAACUUUACAAAAAGAAACCUUACAUUGCUCGGAACAUAUCUAUAGUAACAGGAAAAAAACGCCUAGAAGACAAAGAUGUAUGCACCUAGAUGACGGCCCUAUGUGUCGCCUUAUACCUGAUGUGAAUUGCAGUUACAUAAUUUUGCUAGCCAGCUCAUAAAUGUUGAAGAAAAAUCUUUACAGUAAGAAAACUUCAAAAGGAACUUCCAUGGUAUGACAAAUGAUAGCACUCAUUUCUUUACAAUGAAUGACUUUCCUGCACAAAUUGUACUCCUUGAAUAAGAAAAUUAAGGUAAGAUCCAUGUUAUGUUAAUUACCACAUGUGUCACCCUCUAUAUAUGGUACUUUAGCUAUUCCUCUGAAUUUACUGAAAAUUCUCUCACCCUCAAGAUCUUUUAUUAAAAAAUCAACAUUUCUCGUGAUUUAAAGUUCGUUUUGCAUAAGUGUUAAAAUACAGUGAUUUUCCGGCAAACUAAUGAAAUCAAUAGUCUGUUUUCCUUUUAUUAACAACAACUGUUUGCUCGUAUGGAGCAAAGGCAUUACUGAACUAAUUUUAUUUUUGUACUUGACUAUAGACUAACAAAUGUAAAGAGGAUGGCAUACAAUAGGAAGUAUUUUUUGUGCAGAAAAAUACAUGGUAUUUAAGCUAACCUUCAUUGAACCUGAUCAAUCAUAUAUUUGUCUAAUAUAGUUUCUUUUACAUGUACAAAUGAAAUCAACAGUUGGAAAGUAGGGGGUUUUAUUUUUCUCAAAUGAGAACAUAUUAGGUCUUCCCUGCAUUUCCCCACAGUACUAUUUUUAGGCUCUCCUGGUCAUUUAAAUCUAUAUCAAAUAUCAGAAUAGCUUGAGCCAUUCGUACACCAUGGCUUUGCCUGCUCAGCAAUAUGAACUAAUGAUUACCUACCUAAAACAAAAUAUGAUGGCUGAGCCAAUAAGGUUCUCCUCAUAGCUUAACAUCUUUAGUUAAAAAUCUGAACCUUUUGGAUUAUCAUGUAAAGUGUGGGUAUCCCUGUUCUUAAGUACUGACUAAUCAUAUGAAUCAAUGUUCACAUACCUCUAAAAGAAAAUGAACAAACUGUAUGUUGUCUUAUAAUCCCCCGGCGUUGUGAUUGCAAGAACACAUAGAGAGCUCCAGCUCAAAGUUCACCUCCCCAAUCCCCAUUCGUCUCUGGAACUCAACUGCUAGAAAAAGGAAACAAAAUUGUACGUAUACAUAGAUUUUCUCAGUUCUAUCCAAUUUCAAUAAAAUGCUUCAGGAAGUUUGCAUGAACCACAUGCAACUAAACAACAAAAAAUAGGGCAUCUUCAUCCAAUGGAGGGAACCAAAUCGAUUACCUCCAGAUAAUUUGUCAAGGUGGAUGUCGUGACUGAAGAAGUGGACUCCCAGGGUGAGGUCGAUGGCCUGAUACUGUUCAGUCCUCAUAUGCCACAAAAAACAAAUAUUUAGCAACAACAGUAAGGAAAGGGGAGCAAUGUUCUGCUAGAGCACUGCUUAGAAGCAUCUGAAGAAAUAUUAAUAUUGCGAAACUAAUACAAACAUACAACAUGCAUUCCUGUACACAUACAGACUAUCUGCAAGCAAUUUUUUGCAUCAUCUUGCAGAUUUACCCAUACACACAGUUAGCAAAAAAAUCAUGUAAUAGGGUAGGCAACAAAAAGUAAUGUGGAUGCACUCUUAAUCUUCACUAAAGCACUAUUUAGAACCAUCUGAACAAAUAUCAAUGUUGCAAAAUUGAUAUAAACAUACAACAUGCAUAUCUGUACACAUACAGUACACACAUGUUAUCUGCAAGCAAAUUUUUGCAUCAUCUUGCAGAUUCACCCAUACGCACAGUAGCAUAAAAAUCAAGUAAUAGGAUUGUAGGUAACAGAAAGUACUUUAGAUGUACUUUCACUCUUCACUGAAGUUUUCAGGUUUGGCCAGCUCGAGCCAUAUAACUGAAGCAACAGAGAGGAAUUUUCUCGCUGUUAGGCUUCUCAGAUUCAAUCUGAAUAGAAGAGAAGCUUUAAUAAUGAAUCAUAACACUAACAUUACUUUUAGAGGUAUGGCAUACAUGAACUUUGUGGACCUAGAGUCGAGAAUAUGCAGAGUUCGCGGCAAGGUCAAUGAUGUAAUAGUCUUAAUAUAUAACCGAGGUAGUUCGAAUCCACAUUACUUUCUACUUGUCUCCAUACAUUUCCUUUUCAGAUUAUAACAUAGUUUUAUUCUUGAUAAUUUAUACACAAAUAAGCUAACUAAAUUUUCACAUAUAAUCUACGGCAAUGUAACCUUUUUUGAGGCAAGACCAAAUACUUCUACAUUGAUUAGAGGGAAAAGGCCCCACUGUCUAUUAAAGCCCUAAAGUCUUUUGAAAAUUAGGUAUGGCUCUGCAACUAAUCUAGGUUCACAAAUCAGUUCUAUCAAACUGACUUGGUACGUAGUAAUCCUGAUAUACCCAGCAGCUUGGCUUGGAGCGCGCUGAGGCUGCCAUGGCCGCCUUUGGGCCGGUGGUCGUGUCACCUGAGUUCCACAGGGACCUCCAUCCUCCCCUUCCAGAAAUGCUGCCCUAGCUGCCGACCAGUUCCUUGACCUCGCGAUCUCCUCCUCUGAUGAUGAUAUCCCACUGGCCCGUGUUGGCAUAGCCCCACCUGUGGUCCUCAACUCCAUCCUGCACCACCUACACACCACCUCCCCUCCAGUACCUGUGCCAACGCCUCUGGAGCCUGUCCAGAAUGCUGAGAUGCUCAUUGCUUCCUCCCCAUCCUGUCCGGUGUCUUCUGUGCCGUUCACCUCCAUCACCGCCGCUUUUGAGGCCCUUGCCGAACAGCAUGCUCCGCAAUUGGCCUCUCCCCUGGUUGCCUCUCCUCCUCCAGGAGCGCCUUCUACCUCUCCUACGCUGCGCACCUACUCGCGCCGCCCCCGCUCCGGCAUCGCGUCGGCGCCGGAGAACGUCGCCGUGUCUCUCCUCCCCGAACCCGCUCCUGCGGUUCAUGAGGCGGUGGCUAAGAAGAGGCGCGGCAAAGCCAAGCGCGCCAAGGACAUGCUGCAUGUCCGGCGCAGUGCCCGUCUCGCCUUGGCUGAGCCGCACGCUAAGGAGUCCAUGGCUGACAAGGCUUCCCGGGCCAAGGCCAAACGCCUGACGAUGCAGUUCGCUCCGCUCGUCUCGCUGAUGACGACUCUGAGCCUGGCUCGCCACUGGCGCAUGCUGCUGUGGCCAAGGAGUGUGGCUCCUCUGCUGACGAGAUCGACCUCGUCGCCAAGUCUGUUGGUGGUGCUGCCAAGUGAUCCCAUGUUUAGCAUCUUUCUGGUGCCGCUGGUGGCUGCCAUGUGUCCGUUUGGUCCUAGUUUAUCAGGUCGUUAAUGCUACUACUUAUCUGCGUCUGUUAUCUCUGUGUCUGUAAGCGUGUCCGUCGGUUUAGUGACUCCUGGUGUCUGUGUUAGUUUUUAAUAUGCCUGCAACGAUUAUGUAUCUCUGCUCCUGGAAUGUUAGGGGCCUGGGUGAUGCGGACAAAUGCAAUGAUGUUCUAUCUGAACUUCUCUCUAUCAAAUCUAAUCUGUUGUUACUCCAGGAAACUAAGCUUGCCACGCCCUCUGUCCCAAAAGUCAGGUCCUUCCUGCCAAUCUUCCUCGAUUUCUAUGCCACUUCACCUGCUACGGGCACCGCUGGGUGCUUGCUCUCUGCUGCCAACACCAGCUCCCUUCACAUCACAAACCACUCGAACCAUGGUUUCUGCUCCACUCUCACCUUCACAUCUCUCACACUCCCUUCCCCCUUUUGCGUUACUAACGUUUAUGGCCCGACAAACAGAUCGGAAAAACCUAUCUUCCUCGCUGAGUUAAAAGCCAUAGCUCCCCCUGAGAACACCCCGUGGCUAGUUGUAGGCGAUUUCAAUCUGAUCCGCUUCCCCCACGAGAAAAACAAUGACAACUUUCACCAAUGAGAAUCCCGCAUUUUCAAUGACACUGCUUGAUGAACUAGCUCUCCUCGAGCUGCCUCUACUGGAUCGGCAGUUUACUUGGUCCAACAAUAGAGAAGCCCCUGUCCUCGAACGACUCGACCGCGCCUUCUUUAAUUUAGCUUGGAAUCAUGCCUUCCCCAACGCCUCCUUAACUUCGCUCACUCGCGCCAUCUCCGAUCAUGUGCCACUAAUCAUCUCAAUCUCUAUGUCGGUACCUUGUUCCCGCCUUUUUCGGUUCGAACAAUGCUGGGCCUAUAAUCCGGCCUGCAAACGCCUGAUCGCCCAAAUCUGCCAACACCCUGCCCCGACCCACCUCUCCCCCUCAGUUCGUUUGGCCAGCACCCUUCAAACCUGCCGGUCCCGCCUCAAGCAAUGGACCAAAACCUUGCUGCCUGCCCAUACCAGAGAACUGCGCUGCAAACGCGUUAUUACUCUGCUCAACUUGAAAGAAGAAUCGAGGCCUCUCACCCCCUCCGAACUUCAAUUACAUGUAGUUGUUAAAGCCACGCUGCAAAGAGCCACCCGCGAUUGUAUGCUUGCUCUUCGACAACGAUCCAAAAUCAAACGCGCCAUCUAGGGUGACGAAAACACAAAAUUCUUCCAUGUCUCAACCUCUCAACGCUUUCGGAAAAACCAAAUCCCCGUCCUGCGGCACCUUGGAUGCGACUUCUUCUCCCAUGACCAGAAAGCCAAAAUCCUAAAAGAUUACUACCAAGAGCUACUUGGCACUCCGGCCGCUACUCACUGGAAUUUCAACUUACAAGAUAUCUAUCCCACCCAAAUCCCACAACUGAGGCAUCUCAAGGCCCCUUUUUUGAUGACGAGAUCAAGCUAGCUUUCUUGCACAUGAACCGUAAUGCAAGCCUUGGACCGGACGGCUUCGGUCCCAGUUUCUACCGCUCUUUCUGGCCAAAUAUUAAACACCUCAUCAUCCCCUUCUUCCACGAGUUCGCAUACUCCUCCCAAACCGAAUGUUUUAAUCGCUCCGUUGUCAUCUUACUCCCUAAAAAAGAGGGUGCCGCGCCUUUAGACCCAUUGCCCUGCAAAACUGCCCUAUCAAAGGGAUUGCCAAGCUUCUCACCAACCGGCUAAAAACUUACAUCCCCAUGCUUGUUCACGGUGACCAAACAUGCUUCAUUACUGGUCGAUGUAUCGCCGAAAACUUCAUCUACGCAGCCGACUCGUUGAAUUGCUGCCACAAAUGCAAAGCUGACACCAUGGUCCUUAAACUUGACUUCAGAAAGGCUUUUGACUCAAUCUCCUGGACCUCCUUAAUUAAAAUUCUUCGACACCGUGGCUUCCCAACCCGCUUCUGUAAUUGGGUUGACGACCUACUAACCUCCGGAAAAACUGCUAUCUCUCUAAACGGUAUCCCUGGUAGCUGGAUACAAUGCAGGAAUGGCCUGCGGCAAGGUGACCCCAUCUCACCCUACCUUUUCAUCAUAGUAGCUGACGUUCUCCAGCAGAUGAUCCUAAAAUCAGCCGCUACUGACGAAAGUGUCCUUCAUCAUCCUGUCUACCCGGACCUUCCCCCGACCGUGCUUCAGUACGCAGAUGACACGCUAAUCAUUGCCCACGCCUCAGUUGCGGCCGCACAAGCUCUUAAGAAAAUCCUCGAUGACUUCGCUUCGGCAACGGGCCUAUGCAUCAAUUUUUCCAAGACAACGCUUGUACCUAUGAAUGUCGACCCCACCGUCUCUGAUCUAAUCGCCCAAUCUCUGGGAUGUGCGACCGCCAGCUUUCCUCAAACAUACCUAGGUCUUCCUCUCUCAUCGCACAAACUACCACCCUUGGCCUUUCAGCCAAUCAUCUCUUCCUGCAGAAGUGUUCUACCUGGCUGGUGUGCAAAACUGCUUAACCGUGUAGGUCGCCUCGUUCUCAUUUCCUCGGUCCUUGACUCCCUGGCUACGUACUUUAUGUCCGUCUUGAAGCUGCCAAAAAAAGUUAUUAAAUUGUUAGACUCCAUUCGUAGAGCCUUCUUCUGGGCUGUAGAGGAAAUGUGCACCGGCUCCAGAUGUUUAAUUGCUUGGAAAAACAUUUGCAAACCUAAAGUAUUCGGUGGUCUAGGCAUCAAAAAUCUUGCUUUCCAGAAUGAUUGUCUGCUUAUGAAGUUUGCUUUUAAAUACCUUCACCACAACAACAGUUCCACCCCGAUACCUUGGAUCUCCUGGCUAGAAAAACAGCACCUUUGUAGCCUACCUCAUGU